UGUGAUCCUAUUUUGAGCAAGUGUUUUAAACCUUUAAUAUCUGACAAACUUUCCAAAAUCAAAAUUUCAGAUCUGAAAUUCAUUCUUUUUGACCUCAAACUAACUUUUUGAAUGUUAGGGCCCCUAGACAUCCAAGAGAGACAUAUUAUGCUUAUUUGGUAUGUUAAAAUCAUAUGGAAAGCAUUAUUAAAUAAGAAAUGGUGUUUAACUUUUGGAGGGUUAUGUUUGUAUAAAUAUGUUACUAAUAUGUGCUCCAAAUUGUAUGAUUUCCUAAAAUUCUGAUGUGUCUUGGUAUACAUUAUCAAUAAUAAUUGGAAUUAUUAUGUUCAAUUAUUGCAUGCCAUAAAACAAUGAAAUGUUGUUGUCAAUUGUGUCUGUAUUUAUGGCUAAAACUUUUGUCACUCAUAGACAAUUAUUGUUUUACUUUGAUUCUUCUUAUAAAAAAAGCAGUUUAUAAUCAACUACGGUCCAAAAUUUGCUUUCUCUGAAGGAAAUUCAGGGAAGGUCUCCUGAAUACAGUUUUCUAACUUUGGAUAUCAUACCAUUGGAUUAGGGAAAAAAAACCUUCCAGGAUUCUAACUAAAAAGCUGAUGUGCUCAUGAGUAUUGCUAACCCAACAUCAAAAGUGUGCCCAAGGCUGUCAGGUUAUAGUUUUGUUUUAUACAUUUUAGGGAGACAGAAGUUACAGGCAAAAACAUAAGUCAAUGCAUAUAAGGUGUACAUUGGAGAUGUCCCGGAAAGGUGGGACAUCUCAAAGCAAGUGCUUACAGGUCACAGGUGGAUUCAAAGAUUUUCUGAUUGGCCAAGGUUUUGUUAUAUAGAUGAAGUCUCCAUAUAACAAUCUUUAGAGGGAAUAGAUGACAAAUAUCUCUUUUCAGAACUUAAAAGGUGUCAGAAAGUUAGUUAAUCUUUCCUAGGUCCAGGAAAGUCCUGACUGUAUUAACAGAGAUUCUCUACAGAUGUAAAUUUCCCCCACAAAAGCUGGCUUUGCAGGGCCAUUUAAAAAUAUGGCAGAGAAAUAUAUUUUGGGGUAAAAUAUUUUGAUUUCCUUCAGGAUCGGCUGUCAUGUGAUGCUAUGUUUGAGUCAGGUUGGAAUCUGGUUAUCUUCUUGCCACAAAGAGUCUAUUCUGUCAAUCUUAUGAUCUCUAUUUUAAUCUUAAUGCUGGUCAGUCUUGCCUAAACUCCAAAAGGGAAGGGGCAUAAUGAGGCAUGUCUGACCUCCCUUCCCAUCAUGGCCUGAAAUUUAGUUUUAUAGGUUUCUUUGGGAUCCCCCCCUGGCCAAGAGGGGGUGUGUUCAGUUGGUUGGGGGGCAUAGGAUAUUAUUUUCAAUUUAUAAAUUAAAACUGUGUUUUUCUUAAAGUCCUUAAAAUCAAAGCUAGACAACUUUAAUAAACUUUGAGAGAAAUAACAUCAACUUAUAUAUAAACAGACUUCAUGCCUGCUGAGGUAUGCAGUACUCAGAAAGUUCACUUGAAUACCUAAUUCAAACUACAAUUCAAAAAAAAAAAUCUGUCUGAUUGUCAUAGCAAUCUGAAGAUGCUUCAGAGACCAGAAAAACUAUGGUACAAG
rnacentral:lncRNA from 1 species